GCAGGUUCCUGUUUGUCCUCGCACCCCCCUCCCUCCUGAUGGUGACCUUGUCCCAGGUCUUCUACCAGGCCUUCUACCAGAUGCUUUGCUGAGAAUUCACAGAGGCCGUAGACCUGAAGAACCAACAACCUUCCAUAGGCUUUGAGGUCCCACUCCGGCAGCAGGACGUGCUGGCUCCCAGGAAUCACUCUCUGUGGAAGUUUGAGUGACUCAUUGCAGAGAGGAAUUGAUGAAGUCAACAGCUGCUGGAAAAACUUCUUUUUCCUUAAUAGCUGUAUCAACAUGUGGUUGCUAUUAUUCAAGUAAGAAAAAUAUGUAUAUCAAACAUCCAUGGUAGUCCUUGCUAAAAUUUUCAUUAGAGAGACUCAUGUUUUGACAUUAAAAAAAGUUCAAAUGGGUACCUUAGAGGAUGUUUUGUUGGAGAACAAAAUCAUGGAGAAAUAAAGUCUAAAAAGAAAAAUAA
rnacentral:lncRNA from 1 species